rnacentral:rRNA from 1 species
UACAGAGGGUGCAAGCGUUAAUCGGAAUUACUGGGCGUAAAGCGUGCGUAGACGGUUAUGUAAGUCGGGUGUGAAAGCCCCGGGCUCAACCUGGGAAUUGCAUUCGAGACUGCAUAGCUAGGGUGCGGAAGAGGGAAGCGGAAUUUCCGGUGUAGCGGUGAAAUGCGUAGAUAUCAGGAGGAACACCGGUGGCGAAGGCGGGAUCCUGGGCCAGUACUGACGCUGAGGAGCGAAAGCGUGGGGAGCAAACAGG